CAGGAGGAGUGCAGCACAAAAGAUGUUUAGGAACACUGCAGUUGAAGGCUAAGCCCUGUCUGUGAAACUGGGCCUCAGUGUGCUUAAGUUCCAAAGCAUGCCAACCACGGGGAUGACCAAAGACACGGUGGCUCAGCCAACUGAAGGAAGACAUGAAGAUCAUCAGCGCUGCCCUGGAGAACGCUCGCGACCAUGCCAAAUGGAGAAAGCUUUGCGAAAAGGCAGACCCUGCGGACGAGCGGGACUAACACUAGGGUGAAGAACUGUAAUUAUACUCAUGUAAAGUUAAUCUUAAAAGACACUAAUAAUUUAAUAACACUGCUAAAUGAAAUCUUUAACAAAUCUCAAAAUUAAUAUUAAUUUCAUGCUGUAAUAAUGUUACAUUAUAAUUCAUUUGUAGCAUGCAUUUAUUUAUUUAUUUUAGAGUAAUAUUAAAUUUAUUUUGACCAAGUAGAAUAGAAUUUUAAUUUUUCACAUCUGCCAUUUAUCGGUUCUAUUCUGUUUUUUGUUUUUUUAAUUGGUUUGCUUUGGAUAUGUUGCCAGUAUUAAAUAUUUAAUUUUUCAUGCUCAUUUCACUAUUUUUACAUUUUAGAUAACCUUUGCUAUCAUCUAAAAUAAAGUUAUUCUUAAAGCUGCA